AGUGAACGCUGGCGGUGUGCCUAACACAUGCAAGUCGAACGGCAGCACAGUAAGAGCUUGCCCUUACGGGUGGCGAGUGGCGGACGGGUGAGGCAUACAUCGGAAUCUACUUUUACUUGGGUGACAACGUAGGGAAACAUACGCUAAUACCGCAUAUGACCAACGGGUUAAAGCAGUGGAUCUUCACACCUUUCGUGUCUCAAUUAGCUGGUUCCGGAUUAGCUAGUUGGCAGGGUAAAGGCCCACCAAGGCAACGAUCCGUAGCUGGUCUGAGAGGAUGAUCAGCCACACUGGAACUGAGACACGGUCCAGACUCCUACGGGAGGCAGCAGUAGGGAAUAUUGGGCAAUGGGCGAAAGCCUGAUGCAGCCAUGCCGCGUGAGUGAAGAAGGCCUUCGGGUUGUAAAGCCCUUUUGUUGGGAAAGAAAAACAGCAGGUUAAUCCCCCGCUGUUCUGACGGUACCCAAAGAGUAAGCACCGGCUAACUUCGUG
rnacentral:rRNA from 1 species